rnacentral:rRNA from 1 species
UGGGGGAUAUUGCACAAUGGGGGAAACCCUGAUGCAGCAACGCCGCGUGAGGGAAGAAGGUUUUCGGAUUGUAAACCUCUGUCCCCGGGGAAGAUAAUGACGGUACCCGGGGAGGAAGCUCCGGCUAACUACGUGCCAGCAGCCGCGGUAAUACGUAGGGAGCGAGCGUUGUCCGGAAUUACUGGGUGUAAAGGGUGCGUAGGCGGCUGUGCAAGUCAGGCGUGAAAUGCAGGGGCUUAACCCCUGAGCUGCGUUUGAAACUGCACGGCUUGAGUGAAGUAGAGGUAGGCGGAAUUCCCGGUGUAGCGGUGAAAUGCGUAGAGAUCGGGAGGAACACCAGUGGCGAAGGCGGCCUACUGGGCUUUAACUGACGCUGAGGCACGAAAGCAUGGGUAGCAAACA